UAUUCUCAAUUCUCUAGGUCUUUUGUAAGACUCUGGUGAUAUUGGACUUGGAGGCUAUUGCUGGAACCUUGCAGGUACCUGCUCCUCUCAAAUGUAUCAGUAUGAAUGUUCACUUCAUGCUCAGUGUGAUAAUUAUCUGCACUGUGUCUGAGUGUCAUAAAUUCAUGCUUCAAACUGUCGUCAAGACAAUUCAUUUGAC
rnacentral:misc_RNA from 1 species